rnacentral:miRNA from 15 species
GCGUCGAAAUGACUGUGACUUAUG